rnacentral:lncRNA from 1 species
CUCCCUCCUUCCCUUCCUCUUCACCCACUCUCCACCUCCUCUUCCUUUAAGCCCACCCAUAACUCCUCCAUGGCAGCUCCCUCCACCUCCAUCCUUUUUUGUUGGUGGCCCUUUCUUUUUCUCCUCUCCUUCCUCCCCAUCCACUAUUCUGGUAUAUCUCGCAAAAUUUGAAGAACUAAUUUGGCACUUCUAAAGUUGAGAGAUGUAAGUUAAAUUAAGCUAAAAUUGAGAGGAUGUUCCUAUAAUUUAUCUAAAGAUUGUUUAGUAUAUAAGAAGUUUAGAGAUAC